AACGAACGCUGGCGGCAGGCCUAACACAUGCAAGUCGAACGGGAUCUUCGGAUCUAGUGGCGGACGGGUGAGUAACGCGUGGGAACGUACCCUUUGGUUGGGAAUAGCACCGGGAAACUGGGAGUAAUACCGGAUAAGCUCUAUGGAGGAAAGAUUCAUCGCCAAAGGAUCGGCCCGGGUUGGAUUAGGUAGUUGGUGAGGUAAUGGUUCACCAAGCCGACGAUACAUAGAUGGUUUGAGAGGAUGAUCAGCCACACUGGCCCUGAGACACGGCCCAGACUGCUACGGGAGGCAGCAGUGGGGAGUCCUAGACAAUGGGGGAAACCCUGAUCUAGCCAAGCCGCGUGAUCGAUGAAGGCCUUAGGGUUGUAAAGAUCUUUCAGUGGGGAAGAUAAUGACUGUACCCACAGAAGAGGCCCCGGCUAACUCCGUGCCAGCAGCCGCGGUAA
rnacentral:rRNA from 1 species